CCUACGGGAGGCAGCAGUGAGGAAUAUUGGUCAAUGGGCGCAAGCCUGAACCAGCGACGCCGCGUGCGGGAUGAAGGGGCUUUGCCUCGUAAACCGCUGUCGGGUGGGACGAAAGGUAGCUUUGAGCUACUGGGACGGUACCAUCAAAGGAAGGAUCGGCUAACUACGUGCCAGCAGCCGCGGUAAUACGUAGGAUCCGAGCGUUGUCCGGAGUUACUGGGUGUAAAGGGUGCGUAGGCUGUUCUGUGCGUCAGAGGUGAAAUCCACGAGCUUAACUCGUGGGGUGCCUUUGAUACGGCAGGGCUUGAGUACGAGAGAGGUGCGUGGAAUUCCUGGUGUAGCAGUGAAAUGCGUAGAUAUCAGGAGGAACACCGGUGGCGAAGGCGGCGCACUGGCUCGUAACUGACGCUGAGGCACGAAAGCGUGGGGAUCAAACAGGAUUAGAUACCCUGGUAGUCCACGCCUUAAACGAUGCAUGCUUGGUGUUGGUCUCGCAAGAGAUCAGUGCCGUAGUUAACAUGAUAAGCAUGCCCGACCGUGGGGUUAGGUUACGUAGUUCGCGAAGGUUAGGUUAAAACGUUAAAAGUUAGUUAAGUUAGGUUACGGCGUUGAGGACGUUGCCGAACGGGACGACCGACGAGGGGAAGGUUAAGGAG
rnacentral:rRNA from 1 species